rnacentral:rRNA from 1 species
CCUACGGGUGGCUGCAGUGGGGAAUAUUGGACAAUGGGGGCAACCCUGAUCCAGCCAUGCCGCGUGUGUGAAGAAGGCCCUCGGGUUGUAAAGCACUUUCAGUGAGGAAGAACGCCUGGUGGUUAAAACCCAUCAGGAAAGACAUCACUCACAGAAGAAGCACCGGCUAACUCCGUGCCAGCAGCCGCGGUAAUACGGAGGGUGCGAGCGUUAAUCGGAAUUACUGGGCGUAAAGCGCGCGUAGGUGGCUUGAUAAGCCGGUUGUGAAAGCCCCGGGCUCAACCUGGGAACGGCAUCCGGAACUGUCAAGCUAGAGUGCAGGAGAGGAAGGUAGAAUUCCCGGUGUAGCGGUGCAAUGCGUAGAGAUCGGGAGGAAUACCAGUGGCGAAGGCGGCCUUCUGGACUGACACUGACACUGAGGUGCGAAAGCGUGGGUAGCAAACAGGAUUAGAUACCCUGGUAGUC